UACGUAGGGUGCGAGCGUUGCCCGGAUUUAUUGGGCGUAAAGAGCUCGUAGGCGGUUUGUCGCGUCGGCCGUGAAAUCUCCACGCUUAACGUGGAGCGUGCGGUCGAUACGGGCAGACUUGAGUUCGGUAGGGGAGACUGGAAUUCCUGGUGUAGCAGUGAAAUGCGUAGAUAUCAGGAGGAAUACCGAUGGCGAAGGCAGGUCUCUGGGCUAUAACUGACGCUCAUGCACGAAAGCGUGGGGAGCAAACAGG
rnacentral:rRNA from 1 species